UACAGAGGUCUCAAGCGUUGUUCGGAUUCAUUGGGCGUAAAGGGUGCGUAGGUGGCGGGGCAAGUCUGGUGUGAAAUCCCGGGGCUCAACCCCGGAACUGCACUGGAUACUGCCUUGCUAGAGCACUGGAGAGGGAACUGGAAUUUACGGUGUAGCAGUGAAAUGCGUAGAUAUCGUAAGGAAGACCAGUGGCGAAGGCGAGUUCCUGGACAGUUGCUGACACUGAGGCACGAAGGCUAGGGGAGCAAACGGG
rnacentral:rRNA from 2 species